CCCCUAGAUGUUCUGGGUCGCACGCGCGCUACACUGACGAAUGCAACGAGCUUAUAACCUUGGCCGAAAGGUCUGGGUAAUCUCCAAAUUUCGUCGUGAUGGGGAUAGAUUAUUGCAAUUAUUAAUCUUCAACGAGGAAUGCCUAGUAAGCGCAAGUCAUCAGCUUGCGUUGAUUACGUCCCUGCCCUUUGUACACACCGCCCGUCGCUCCUACCGAUUGAAUGGUCCGGUGAAGCGUUCGGACCGUGGCCUUUGGACGGUUCGCCGUCUGUUGGCUGCGGGAAGUUCGUUAAACCUUAUCAUUUAGAGGAAGGAGAANUCGUANCA
rnacentral:rRNA from 1 species